rnacentral:lncRNA from 1 species
GAUUGCCAUUUUGUUCGGGACUUGUUGCUUUCUGGUUUUAUCAAGUUGCUUCAUGUGCCUACUUCUCGUCAGCUGGCAGACUUGCUCACCAAGCCUCUGCCAGGCACUUUGCUGCUUCCGCUGCUCACCAAGUUGCAGGUGGUUCCCCCCUCCAACUUGAGGGGGGGUGUUGAGAUACAAGAUAUUGCAUGAUUUAGAUUUGUAUAUACUUGUGUAUAUUCAGUGUAUAUUGAGUGUAUAUCGUAGGUAUAUUGCCGGCAUUGGGUUAUAAGUUGUAACUGGGCUGUGAUGAGAGUGGUCUGAGCCCAAGUCCCUUAUUUAAUUUUGGGCCGGAUCACCCGAUCCGACCCGUCCAUUUGUAAUUAGUAUAAAUGUAGGUGAGAUAUUUUUCUCACCUACCGAGACUCA